rnacentral:tRNA from 1 species
GUCACGAUCAGAAUGAAAGGUAGUUCGCUGGGCCUUUAUUUUGAUCCCAGAGGUGCUGGUUCGACUCCAGCUCGUGAUAAGGC